CGGAGGUGCAACAAACCGGCGAGGGUGUCUCGAUCGUGGUCGUUCUAAUGGAAAGCUGCUACAGCGCGGUGCUAUGGAUAUGUACUUUUUGUAUUUUAUGUGUUUUGCUGUAUAUUUGCACCGUGAAAAGCGGUUAUCAUAAGGAUUGGAGUAAACGUAAAGGCAUCGGUCCUACAUUGAAUUCAAAACCAAAUCCUGCAGGAAACUUACCAUUUUCAGUUUACGUUAUCGGGCCUGAUGAGACCAAAGCAUCAUGCGCAGUACCAUGCGUUGUUCAACUGAACUAUUGUGAGCUGUUACAAAGCACCAAGGAGGCCCGGCGAAGCCGCAAGGAGAUCUCCCUUGAUCCUACCGGUUACCCUUUUCAUAUGCACGGCAGCACAGACAACCUAGUCUUGGAAGGUUAAAGUUAAGUUAUCGAUUGCUAAACGUAUUUUCAAAUUUGUUUUAAGCCAUCUUUCACACCAAAAACCAUUCUCUAGGCCGUAAAAGUCUAGAGUGAAAACGGCCAGAAGUUGGGAAAGGAGGAAAAAUUAACUUGUGAAAUGGGAAAUUUGUUUGCACAUUUUACAAUACCAGGGAGGUAUAGUUUGAGUGGUCGAUACAUUUUAUUUGAUUUCGAAUUAUGGAAAUUAAAUUUAGGAUGGCCCAAAAAUUUAAAUUUAUUGUUUUUGUUAAACACGGCUAUAUUUAGCUUUGGACUAUUUAAAACAAAUUCGUUAGUAUUCGUCCGCUAAUAUUUGUUUAAUUGUAGUUAUGUUUUGAAACCGCCUUCGAUAUGGAGGCGCCUGGUACAUGAUGAAAAAAACGUGAGGUUGAAGCUUUAACAUUUGUUGACAUUACUAGAAGAGUUUAUGUAGAGAAGAAAACAUCAAGCAUAGGAUUUCUAGUUCGUAGUAUUAAAAUUUAGUACAAUCGAUAGAUACACAAAGCUUGAAUAUGAUUAUAACCCCGUUGCUAAUAUUAUUUUUU